UAGAUUAGCUAGCCUGGAUUUAGCUAGCCUGGAUUUUGAAUUGUGUACGGAGUGGCUCAUUUGUGGAAUACAAUAGACCUAGUUAACGAGCUAAAUUAGCUCGCUAUUAUUUUUAUUUAUAUAAACCAAUGCGCUUACAUUUGUUUCAUUAUUUGGUUUCACAUCUGUCCAUGCACCAGAUUGGAAUGAAAGGUUUGUUUGCUCAAGUGCCAAGGACCUGAAUUCGACCGUGUGGCGGAUCCUACCCUUGCAUUCUGUCAAACCGUCUUGCCAUCGCCACAACCUGGACUAAGGGCAGGGGAGGUGGCCUGUUUCAGGGACUUGUUUCUGAAGACCAUUUCUUCACAGAGCCAUUCAGGAGAACCCUGCAACCCGGGAUGCUGAGUAGCUAAAACGGGCAUCCGAUUGUGAAGGCGGGAGGCGGCGUCGCACAAGGGAGAGGAAUCCACUUCAUUGAGGUUCAACAUCAAGUCUCAGACCACCUGUCUCAAAUCCACCCUCUACCCACAAGCCACAAGACUGCUCCAACAGCUGAACCCUGGGCUGAUUACUGCACUCUACCACACACUUACCAUUUACUCAUAUUAUGUACACAUUGAAAUCAGUUUAUUCUACUGGAACCAUGCAAUAGUUAUGUCACCUUACUGCACUACUAAUGUAUUGUAUAUACGUUCAUAUAAUUCUAUGAUGCAACUGCACUGUAAUUAUCCCACUCACUAUGCACAUGGACAAACAAAGCUUCUAUAUCCCUAUAGGAUAUCUCUUUUAAUCUUAUUUUAGUUUACAUCUUAUUUCCUUUUAGCUGCGUGCCUCUUGUACUUGAUUUAGUUUAAUUUAGUUGUUUUUAUAAGUAUGUUAUAUUUAUGUCACUUAUUUGAUUGCUUUCCUAUGUUACUUAUUUGAUUACUAUGUCACUUUUGAGAAGCCUGCAAGUCCAUGAAUGAGGAGAUUGGCAAAAAAAUCUGUCGCACAUCGCGGGACCACUAUUGAGGGAUGCCAGGCUCCUGCUCAUUGCUAACUGGGUUAAAUACAUUGGGGCUACAAUUACUAUAUAGGAGUUACUUUAACAUUUUACUGCACCGGGCCAAAUCAGGGUUACACAGAGUGAUUCUUGGUAGUCUUAAAUCUAUUUUGAAACAAAAGUAUACACCUGGGCUUAAAAAAAGAAGACACCUGUACCAUGAGUUGAAAUGUAUUACAUUUUGAGUUUGCAUGCCAAUAUUACACUUUAUAUACAUCACAGAGGACUGAAAUAACCAAACUGUUUGGAAUAGAAACACCAUCUUUUCAUAAUGUUUUAAAGAAUAAUCUUUAUUAUUGAUGCUGAAACUAUGAAAAAUAUUAAUAACAUUCCACCCAUGAGGCCAAAGAGGUCGCUUUUGGUCAUUGACUGCGGGAUAGGGUUACAGACAUAGGAGCUACCGUACCUUAAAGACAUGUAAUAUCCUGCUAGGAUAUAUUGUGUUCUGUGUGAUUACGUCUAGCCUAUCACAUGCUGCAUCAUUGGCAUAAAGGUCGCGCAAGUUUACGUCAAGCGCACAUUCAUCCCUUUUGGAUCAAGAUGGCAAAAUAAAUAAGACAAUAUUUGUUGUCAUUCCCUUUCUUUUAAUUAGACACUAAGAGUGACAGUCAAGUCAUUGUGCGUUCCAACACCGAGGAGGGAUUGGGAUUAAUCAAAUUUACCUGACGAGGGUCGAGCUAAUGCUCUCUGGACCGAUAUGUACUAAGAACAAGAACGGGGGGGAAAGGACGAGAUGUAUUUAACAUGGGGACACAAACGCAGAUGCAAAGGUACUGAAAACGUAUUAUGACAAGUAUGAGGAAUACGUCAUUCCCAAUGCAAAUCCGUUUUUUGCUAGAUACAAGUUUCAAGAAAAGCUACAAGGUGUUAGCGAGUCCGUCAAGCAUUUUGUUACCGAGGUAAAGUUUCUAGUUGAAGACUGUAACUAGCCAAACAGUGACGAGAUGGUUAGAGUCCGAUUGUUUUUGCUACGAACUCACCUAAAGUGCGUGAAAAGCUAUUGAGUCAUGGCUCAUCAGAUUUUACUUUCAAAAAAGCCAUAGACAUUGCGCACUCACACAAGCUAGCACAAGAACAGUUGAGGACCAUGGUUAGCAAUAGCAACAGAGCUAGCGCUGCUACAGCUAGUCAGGCAGUACAUGCUAUAAGCCAAAGAGAACACGGAGGAUACAGAACCGACGCAAAGCGU